rnacentral:tRNA from 1 species
GCUGUAGCUCAGUGGCAGAGUGCUUGCCUGACAUGUUUGAGGCACUUGGUUCCAUCCUUAGCACUGCA